UACGGAGGGUGCGAGCGUUGUCCGGAAUCAUUGGGCGUAAAGGGCGCGUAGGUGGCCACUUCAAGCGUGCGGUGAAAGUCGGGGGCUCAACCCCUGAUCGGCCGUGCGAACUGGGGGGCUGGAGCACUGUAGAGGCAGGUGGAAUUCCGGGUGUAGCGGUGGAAUGCGUAGAGAUCCGGAAGAACACCGGUGGCGAAGGCGGCCUGCUGGGCAGUAGCUGACGCUGAGGCGCGACAGCGUGGGGAGCAAACAGG
rnacentral:rRNA from 1 species